UGUGUGUGUGUGUGUGUGUGUGUGUGUGUGUGUGUGUGUGUGUGUGUGUCAGGUCACACACACGACUAUUAAUAUAGCCCCCCCGUUAACACUUUGUUGUGGCGUCAACCCGGCGCCAGACAAGCUCAGAGAUGUCCAGAUUUGAGCUCUGCCAGUGUUUCUGAAUAACUGUAAGGCCUUACCAGGCGGUCUGGUUGAAUGAAUCUCUUCUUCCUGAGUCGAUACUUCUGAAUCUGACAGGGGGAAACGUACCUUCUCGGUAUACCACCACCCAGCUUCUCAUUUAGAAACAGCCUAUGUGGUAUGAAUAAAACUCAGAAGUAUUUAUUAUACCGUCUAAAUCGACUACAGAGGGAAAAGAGGAUCAUUUUGGUCAAUGUCAGUCUCGUCCAAAACUGAAUCACAACGUAGAUGACGGUUGGGUUUGUUUUGUUAGGUUCUAAUUCUCGGAGUAAUAAACUCCACGGACAUUAUGAAAGCUUAACCAAGUUAAUUCUCCCAGAGGAUCAAUACAUUCAGACAAAACAUGUUUCCACCAACACAGUAUAUAUACUCCAGUUUAGAUGCUCUCCUCCUUCUCUCCAACCCUUUAGAUCUGUUAUGGUUCGACAGGAAGAGGAAGUGAUAGGGUUAAACCAUUCCUCCUCCCUUAAGGUGACCUGACCUGACCUCAACCCCCUUGAUGCCUAAUCCAAAGCUCUCUCCCCUUAUCAAUGCCUGCCACAUGUGAUCCCUUCCCUGCACUCAAUAUUUCUAUAGGAUACCUGACAUAAUGUAAAGGUUAUACAUUACCCUCUCUCCCUCAGUGACAUAUCCUGACAUAAUGUAAAGGUUAUACAUUACCCUCUCUCCCUCAGUGACAUAUCCUGACAUAAUGUAAAGGUUAUACAUUACCCUCUCUCCCUCAGUGACAUAUCCUGACAUAAUGUAAAGGUUAUACAUUACCCUCUCUCCCUCAGUGACAUAUCCUGACAUAAUGUAAAGGUUAUACAUUACCCUCUCUCCCUCAGUGACAUAUCCUGACAUAAUGUAAAGGUUAUACAUUACCCUCUCUCCCUCAGUGACAUAUCCUGACAUAAUGUAAAGGUUAUACAUUACCCUCUCUCCCUCAGUGACAUAUCCUGACAUAAUGUAAAGGUUAUACAUUACCCUCUCUCCCUCAGUGACAUAUCCUGACAUAAUGUAAAGGUUAUACAUUACCCUCUCUCCCUCAGUGACAUAUCCUGACAUAAUGUAAAGGUUAUACAUUACCCUCUCUCCCUCAGUGACAUAUCCUGACAUAAUGUAAAGGUUAUACAUUACCCUCUCUCCCUCAGUGACAUAUCCUGACAUAAUGUAAAGGUUAUACAUUACCCUCUCUCCCUCAGUGACAUAUCCUGACAUAAUGUAAAGGUUAUACAUUACCCUCUCUCCCUCAGUGACAUAUCCUGACAUAAUGUAAAGGUUAUACAUUACCCUCUCUCCCUCAGUGACAUAUCCUGACAUAAUGUAAAGGUUAUACAUUACCCUCUCUCCCUCAGUGACAUAUCCUGACAUAAUGUAAAGGUUAUACAUUACCCUCUCUCCCUCAGUGACAUAUCCUGACAUAAUGUAAAGGUUAUACAUUACCCUCUCUCCCUCAGUGACAUAUCCUGACAUAAUGUAAAGGUUAUACAUUACCCUCUCUCCCUCAGUGACAUAUCCUGACAUAAUGUAAUGGUUAUACAUUACCCUCUCUCCCUCAGUGACAUAUCCUGACAUAAUGUUAUACAUUACCCUCUCUCCCUCAGUGACAUAUCCUGACAUAAUGUAAAGGUUAUACAUUGCCCUCUCUCCCUCAGUGACAUAUCCUGACAUAAUGUUAUACAUUACCCUCUCUCCCUCAGUGACAUAUCCUGACAUAAUGUAAAGGUUAUACAUUACCCUCUCUCCCUCAGUGACAUAUCCUGACAUAAUGUAAAGGUUAUACAUUACCCUCUCUCCCUCAGUGACAUAUCCUGACAUAAUGUAAAGGUUAUACAUUACCCUCUCUCCCUCAGUGACAUAUCCUGACAUAAUGUAAAGGUUAUACAUUACCCUCUCUCCCUCAGUGACAUAUCCUGACAUAAUGUAAAGGUUAUACAUUACCCUCUCUCCCUCAGUGACAUAUCCUGACAUAAUGUAAAGGUUAUACAUUACCCUCUCUCCCUCAGUGACAUAUCCUGACAUAAUGUAAAGGUUAUACAUUACCCUCUCUCCCUCAGUGACAUAUCCUGACAUAAUGUAAUGGUUAUACAUUACCCUCUCUCCCUCAGUGACAUAUCCUGACAUAAUGUAAAGGUUAUACAUUACCCUCUCUCCCUCAGUGGCAUAUCCUGACAUAAUGUAAUGGUUAUACAUUACCCUCUCUCCCUCAGUGACAUAUCCUGACAUAAUGUUACCCUCUCUCCUCAGUGACAUAUCCUGACAUAAUGUAAAGGUUAUACAUUACCCUCUCUCCCUCAGUGACAUAUCCUGACAUAAUGUUAUACAUUACCCUCUCUCCCUCAGUGACAUAUCCUGACAUAAUGUGAAGGUUAUACAUUACCCUCUCUCCCUCAGUGACAUAUCCUGACAUAAUGUGAAGGUUAUACAUUACCCUCUCUCCCUCAGUGACAUAUCCUGACAUA